GUUGGUUGUUUUUUUUGGGGUGGGUGAGGGUUAAAGAAUAAAUUUGCUAAUGUUCAGUUGGAAUCAACACUAAAAAGUUUCUUAUGGUGUCAAUCCUCUGACUUCUGUUGCAAAAAGCAAGUCAUAGGGUUAGUGAUCGGUGGCUUUAAUUAACUCCUUUCAUGCUUUAUAUUUUGCUAAAGGUUGAAGACCUAGAUGCUUUUUGAUAUGAAGUUUUGGUCUGUUAUAUGUCUAUUGUUCUUGACAUCAUUUUCAUGUUUCAGACUAUUCAAAAAAGAAGUUAAUAUGAUUGUAAUGUUAAUUUCUCUCUUAUGAGUAAGAGGAUACUAUAUUUAGUAUGUGCAUACAAUACGAGGUCCUCAAACUGGUCCGAACUUUUUCACCUAACCUUGGCCUCAUUUUAUGGAUCAAUGAACAAAAUUAAUAGUCCAGCCAAUCUAGCAUAAAUUUGACCCUUACCUUAAAGUAAUUGCAACAGAACAUUUUAAAGUUUUAAUCUUUAGCAUUAUGCCCCAAAUAUUCACAGAAAAAUGUCCAACAAGAUCUAAUUUAAGGAAGACCAAAUAAACACGAUUUUAAAAUUCCUAUGGAGAUUUGUAUUGAAAUGGGAGAUAACUCUGUAAAAAGGUAGAAAUAUAAAUAAAAAUUGAUCCAAAAUUAUAACUUUAAAGCUUCUAUUCAGCAGAAUGUAUUGAUUCUUGAUAAUGUUAGCUGCCUUUAGAGUAUAAAAAACAACUCUAAAGGUGUUUUAUAUCAUUUACCAAGCUACAAUCUAGAUUUCGUAAUUCAUUGGUUGACCAUUUAUUAAAUUUUUC
rnacentral:lncRNA from 1 species